rfam:Nelumbo nucifera contig056691, whole genome shotgun sequence
GGGUGCGAUCAUACCAGCACUAAUGCACCGGAUCCCAUCAGAACUCCAAAGUUAAGCUUGUUUGGGCGAGAGUAGUACUAGGAUGGGUGACCUCCUGGGAAGUCCUCGUGUUGCACCCU